rnacentral:piRNA from 1 species
UUGUGAUAGUUUGAGUUAAA